rnacentral:misc_RNA from 1 species
GAAUCAGAUUGCAGAGGUCAAUUUUAUUUCAAUUUAAUUUAUGUUUAUUGAAAAUUUUUUAAUUUAAUUAAAAGACCAAUCUAAAUAGGAUCAGAAUACUAAUUUUGAUUUGGUCUAAUUUAAGAUUUAAAAGAGAGGAAAGUGACUGAUUUUCCUUUAAGCUGAUUUCGAUCUAAAUCAAUUGUUAAAUUGAUGUUAAUUUUGAAUUUAAUAAAAUUAAUUUCAUUUUAGUUUUUAGCACAAUUAUUAAUACACCUCAUUCUCAAAGGCUCACCAUACUCCAACCCUAAUGUUUUAUUUGUCUAUAUCUGUAUCUUUGUUCUAGACACAAAGCCCUAGAAAUACAUACCUUCUUUAUUUCUAUAUUUGAUGAGUACUUCCAUUAGCAAAAAAAUAGUAUUGCUUAAAUUUGAUAUUUGUCGAUAUAUAAGAAUCAUAUAUUGACGCGAUUGGAAGUUGUUGAAAUUAAAUAUUGUGGAUAAUAAUUAGUCAUCAAAAUAUUAUCAAACCAACGCACUAAAGAU